GCCCAGAUAGCUCAGUUGGUAGAGCAGCGGAUUGAAAAUCCGCGUGUCGUUGGUUCGAUUCCGACUCUGGGCA
rnacentral:tRNA from 2 species